GACGAACGCUGGCGGCGUGCUUAACACAUGCAAGUCGAACGGAAAGGCCCUGCUUUUGUGGGGUGCUCGAGUGGCGAAAGGGUGAGUAACACGUGAGUAACCUGCCCCUGACUUUGGGAUAACUUCAGGGAACUGGGGCUAAUACCGGAUAGGAGCUCCUGCUGCAUGGGGGGGGUUGGAAAGGUUCGGCGGUUGGGGAUGGACUCGCGGCUUAUCAGCUUGUUGGUGGGGUAGUGGCUUACCAAGGCUUUGACGGGUAGCCGGCCUGAGAGGGUGACCGGCCACAUUGGGACUGAGAUACGGCCCAGACUCCUACGGGAGGCAGCAGUGGGGAAUAUUGCACAAUGGGCGGAAGCCUGAUGCAGCAACGCCGCGUGCGGGAUGACGGCCUUCGGGUUGUAAACCGCUUUCGCCUGUGACGAAGCGUGAGUGACGGUAAUGGGUAAAGAAGCACCGGCUAACUACGUG
rnacentral:rRNA from 1 species